rnacentral:rRNA from 1 species
UACGGGGGGGGCAAGCGUUGUUCGGAAUUACUGGGCGUAAAGGGCGCGUAGGCGGCCGCCUAAGUCAGACGUGAAAUCCCUCGGCUCAACCGGGGAACUGCGUCUGAUACUGGAUGGCUUGAGUUUGGGAGAGGGAUGCGGAAUUCCAGGUGUAGCGGUGAAAUGCGUAGAUAUCUGGAGGAACACCGGUGGCGAAGGCGGCAUCCUGGACCAACACUGACGCUGAGUGAGCGAAAGCCAGGGGAGCAAACGGG